UAACCUGAACCCCUGAGAUC
rnacentral:piRNA from 1 species